UUUGGGGUAGCAUAAUUUAAUGCAAAGAGUUUAAGCCUCUUAGAUUUAUCCAAAAU
rnacentral:tRNA from 1 species